CCUACGGGAGGCAGCAGUGGGGAAUAUUGCACAAUGGGGGGAACCCUGAUGCAGCGACGCCGCGUGAGUGAAGAAGUAAUUCGGUAUGUAAAGCUCUAUCAGCAGGGAAGAAAAUGACGGUGCCUGAGUAAUAAGCCGCGGCUAACUACGUGCCAGCAGCCGCGGUAAUACGUAGGGGGCAAGAGGUAUCCGGAUUUACUGGGUGUAAAGGGAGCGUAGACGGCAGUGCAAGUCUGGAGUGAAAGGCGGGGGCUCAACCCCCGGACUGCUCUGGAAACUGUACGGCUGGAGUGCAGGAGAGGUAAGUGGAAUGCCUAGUGUAGCGGUGAAAUGCGUAGAUAUUAGGAGGAACACCAGUGGCGAAGGCGGCUUACUGGACUGUAACUGACGUUGAGGCUCGAAAGCGUGGGGAGCAAACAGGAUUAGAUACCCGUGUAGUC
rnacentral:rRNA from 1 species